GACGAACGCUGGCGGCGUGCUUAACACAUGCAAGUCGAACGGAAAGGCCUGUCCUUCCUUGUGUUGGACGGGUACUCGAGUGGCGAACGGGUGAGUAACACGUGAGUGAUCUGCCCCCAACUUGGGUAUAAGCCUGGGAAACUGGGUCUAAUUCCCGAUAGGACUGCAGGGUGGUGCCUGUGGUGGAAAACGAUUUUCUAGUGGUUGGGGAUGAGCUCGCGGCCUAUCAGCUUGUUGGUGGGGUAAUGGCCUACCAAGGCGGCGACGGGGAGCCGGCCAGGGAGGGUGGACGGCCAGAUUGGGACUGAGAUACGGCCCAGACUCCUACGGGAGGCAGCAGUGGGGAAUAUUGCACAAUGGGCGGAAGCCUGAUGCAGCGACGCCGCGUGGGGGAUGACGGCCUUCGGGUUGUAAACUCCUUUCGACCGCGAGGAAGCCGCCUGGUUGGAAGGGUGGUGACGGUAGUGGUAGAAGAAGCACCGGCUAACUACGUG
rnacentral:rRNA from 1 species